GACGAACGCUGGCGGCGUGCUUAACACAUGUAAGUCGAACGGAAAGGCCCCUUCGGGGGUACUCGAGUGGCGAACAGGUGAGUAACACGUGAGUAACCUGCCCUUGACUUCGGGAUAACUUCAGGACACUGGGGCUAAUACCGGAUAGGAAUCCUUGCUGCAUGGUGGGGGUUGGAAAGCUUCGGCGGUUUUGGAUGGACUCGCGGCUUAUCAGCUUGUUGGUGGGGUAGUGGCUUACCAAGGCUUUGACGGGUAGCCGGCCUGAGAGGGCGACCGGCCACAUUGGGACUGAGAUACGGCCCAGACUCCUACGGGAGGCAGCAGUGGGGAAUAUUGCACAAUGGGCGGAAGCCUGAUGCAGCAACGCCGCGUGCGGGAUGACGGCCUUCGGGUUGUAAACCGCGUUCAGCAGGGGCGAAGCUUGUGGUGACGGUACCUGCAGAAGAAGCACCGGCUAACUACGUG
rnacentral:rRNA from 1 species